rnacentral:rRNA from 1 species
AACGCUAGCGGCAGGCCUAAUACAUGCAAGUCGAACGGUAACAUGAGAGCUUGCUCUUGAGAUGACGAGUGGCGCACGGGUGCGUAACGCGUAUGCAACCUACCCUUUACUGGGGGAUAGCCCGGAGAAAUCCGGAUUAAUACCCCAUGGUACUGUAAUGUAGCAUUACAUAGCAGUUAAAGAUUUAUUGGUAAAGGAUGGGCAUGCGUGACAUUAGUUAGUUGGUAAGGUAACGGCUUACCAAGACGAUGAUGUCUAGGGGUUCUGAGAGGAAGGUCCCCCACACUGGUACUGAGACACGGACCAGACUCCUACGGGAGGCAGCAGUAGGGAAUAUUGGUCAAUGGGCGGAAGCCUGAACCAGCCAUGCCGCGUGCAGGAUGACAGCUUUCUGAGUUGUAAACUGCUUUUAUAUAGGAACAAAUAGACUUACGUGUAACAAGCUGACGGUACCGUACGAAUAAGGAUCGGCUAACUCCGUGCCAGCAGCCGCGGUAAUACGGAGGAUCCAAGCGUUAUCCGGAUUUAUUAGGUUUAAAGGGUGCGCAGGCGGGAAAAUAAGUCAGCGGUGAAAUCCUGUAGCUCAACUACAGAACUGCCGUUGAUACUGUUUUUCUUGAGUUCGGUUGAGGUAAGCGGAAUGUGUAGUGUAGCGGUGAAAUGCUUAGAUAUUACACAGAACACCAAUUGCGAAGGCAGCUUACUAAACCGUUACUGACGCUGAGGCACGAAAGCGUGGGGAGCGAACAGGAUUAGAUACCCUGGUAGUCCACGCCGUAAACGAUGAUUACUCGUUGUGCGCUAUAUACUGUGCGUGACUGAGCGAAAGCAUUAAGUAAUCCACCUGGGGAGUACGUCGGCAACGAUGAAACUCAAAGGAAUUGACGGGGGCCCGCACAAGCGGAGGAACAUGUGGUUUAAUUCGAUGAUACGCGAGGAACCUUACCUGGGCUUAAAUGUUAGUGACCUAGAGUGAAUAGAUCUUUCCUUCGGGACAAUUUACAAGGUGCUGCAUGGCUGUCGUCAGCUCGUGCCGUGAGGUGUCGGGUUAAGUCCCAUAACGAGCGCAACCCCUAUCCUUAGUUGCCAUCAGGUAAUGCUGGGGACUCUAAGGGAACUGCCUACGCAAGUAGUGAGGAAGGUGGGGAUGACGUCAAAUCAGCACGGCCCUUAUGUCCAGGGCUACACACGUGCUACAAUGGUCGGUACAGAGGGUCGCUACCUGGUGACAGGAUGCUAAUCUCAAAAACCGAUCUCAGUUCGGAUCGAAGUCUGCAACUCGACUUCGUGAAGUUGGAUUCGCUAGUAAUCGCAUAUCAGCAAUGGUGCGGUGAAUACGUUCCCGGGCCUUGUACACACCGCCCGUCAAGCCAUGGAAGCUGGGGGUACCUGAAGUCCGUGACCGCAAGGAGCGGCCUAGG